AUAUUCAUAUUGACUUGUCAAAUAUUUUAGAAAAGUUCUUUUGGUAUGAUGUUUGUAUAAUUUUUACCGAAGCCACGUCAUUUCAGGGCAAAUUUUUGGAUCUAAGGAAUGACUGCUGCCUCAUGAAAUCGCGAAUGAUCUGUUUCUGUCAAAAAUAUUGUAACAAGUAGUUCACUCAAUUAGUACCGUACAUGUAUUCGUGUUUCUGACAAAUCGGGCCCAACUGCACAGACGCUGCCUUGCAGAGACGGCUACAAAGGCUUAUUAGUAAUUGGAUAUUACCCUGGCUUGAACAGCUCGUAACAACAACAUGAGUUCUUCGGUACCGGUUGGGAGCAUGGCUGGUAUGGAGACGGUUGUUGCAGUCGCCCUUGGUGCUCUUGCUGCUGUUUUUCUUGGCGCGCUUCUCGUUUUGUUAGUCAUUUGUAGAAGACAACGAUGCUAUCAUAAACAGAAGGAUUCCCAUGACUUGAAUUCAGAUUUGUUGGAAAGCGAAAAUGGUGGAGCUCUGAGUUUGGAUGCUUGGGAGGGCGAAGAAUGGCUGGUUAAUGCUGAGAGGUGGGUUGAUGACGCGACUGGUUUGGCUCCACCGUGUAUAGCAGUGCUAAGAUCAUGCCAUUCCCUGGCAGCGAGUUUGACCAAAAUUGCUGGAACAGUAAACAGCAACACAGUACCUUUCGAAAUUGUAGACGUUGCCAGACGCAUACCACCAAGGGUUGAUGAUGUUGUACGUAGCCUCUACCCACCCCUAGAUGCUCGUUUACUGGAAGCAAGAGUAGCAGCUCUAGUUUUAGCAGUCACCAACUUGGCCCUCGUUACGAAACAUGGAAUACCGAAAAGUCAGGCAAGGAAGUUGGCAUUUAUCGAUCAGGCCCUCAGUGACAUGGAUUUACAUCUCUUAGUUUUACGGGAAGCUGCACUGGCACAGGAAGCAGCUUGUGCCAUCCCAGCAUCUACCUCAGUGUAAGUUUCCAUAAAUGUUGAUCAGCAAGAGCAAGAAGUUUUGUCUUGACAUGGGGAAUUUUUCUACCUUUAAAAUUUGAUAUAUCAAAGCUGUGAGUCACCAUUCAAUUUUUGAAGCGGCAUAGUUUUAUCGUAUGAUUCGCUGCCCUCUUACACCAAGACAAUAUGUUUCAUUUGUAUAUGUAUUCCAAGUAAUAUGAUUAACUUCCAAAACCUUAAAGUAUUUUCAAUUUUUGAAACUCCUGUUCAUUGUUGAUGUUUUAUGAAGAUAUUUUGUGGUUUUUAGAUUAUAAAAUAGACUAUAUUUACGUAUGUCAUAUAUUUAUAUAAAUGCGCAAUCAAAUUUUUAUACGAUUUUACUACAAUAUAUAUAUAUAUGGUGCGUUUAUACGAACAAUUUACGAAAGAAACUUGACAGAUCUACAAAGAGAAUUCUGUUACUACUUGACCUUUGUAAAUAUGUUAAUUUUUAUCUAUUCAAAUGAUUCUGUCAAGCUACACGACGUUUCGUGAAUGAUAUUCGCCCGAGAAGUUUCAAGUAUUGGAAUCUCUAGUUAACUGAAUCAACCUGAUUCACUAAAAAUAAUCUAAUAUCAUUUCAAACCCGGAAAUUUAACAAGCAAACUCGUGGUAGAUAAUUUCAACUCAGCCAUCAGUGCUACAGAUUAUAACAAUAUUGGAACGAAAUCUAUUAUACGUCAAUAAAAGAGUGGCUCACUAUGGCUGACUAAUGCAUUGUUAUUACUUAUAUAUCUAUAUUGCUACAUUGUAUAUCAUUUUGAAGUUUGAGAUGUUUCUAUUUAAAUAUUCACCUAAUACUGGAAUAAACCAGUAUAUGUUGCGGCGCAAUGAUUCUAUUUUUGUUAAUACAUGCAUAUCAAGAAAUAAGCCAUACAUUUACACUUGUAUUCACAGAUAUAUUUUGUAUUUACUAAUCCACAUCAAACGACGAGUAAGCAACGUAAUAUUUUUGAAAAAAAUUUAAAAAAUUUAAUCUAAUGUAUAAAAUUUGUUACUGCAAUGUUAAACGAAUGAAAAAGGAUAUUGUGAGUUUUUACUAAUUACCAUAUUCCUUCAAGUAUUUUAUUAAUAUUCAAUAAUUAGAUUCAAAUUACAAUCUCUGAGACCAUAGGGAUUUAAUCCCAAAGGGCAACGGUUUCUGUUAAUUAAUCAAUUAGGUAAUUGUAAUUAGUUAUUACUGAUUUAUCGUUUUAAAUAAAUUAGCUAAGAUAGCUCAAGCCAUCUUCGUGCUACACAGCAGCACCAAUUUAAGACGGCAGGCAAGUUUAUUUUUCGGUAAAAUUUCUAUAUAAUUGGGGGUGCAAUAUAAAAGGAAUAAAAUGGUUUUCAGAAUAA